GACGAACGCUGGCGGCGUGCCUAAUACAUGCAAGUCGAACGCAGUGGGGACGGGUGAUUAACACCUGGGUAACCUCCCAUCAGAGCGGAUAACACUUGGCAACAGGUGCUAUACCUAUCCUGGUGGAUGAACCCGCGGUGCAUUAGCUAGUUGGUGAGGUAUCGGCCCACCAAGGCCAGGAUGCAUAGGCGACCUGAGAGGGUGAUCGGCCACACUGGGACGGAGUCACGGACCAGACGCCUACGGGAGGCAGCAGUAGGGAAUCUUCGGCAAUGGACGAAAGCCUGACCGAGCAAAGCCGCGUGAGUGAAGAAGGUUUUCGGAUCGGAAAAUGCUGUUGUUAGAGAAGCGGUAUCUAACCAGAAAGCCACGGCUAACUACGUGCCAGCCGCCGCGGUAAUAC
rnacentral:rRNA from 1 species